AUCCACGUCAUCCGGUGAGUUAACCUGCCUUUGUUGGAUACAUUAAUAUAAGCAUAUAUUUUGCAAACCAUUCUUUGGUUGUUCUUCUCAAUUUUUUAUAAUAAUAUGAAAAUAGGAACUACCUAUGAAUAUGAACGCGCCCUUGUUCUGGACGUAAAAGGGAAUGGACGUAAAAGGGAACAUAAUGUCAGUUGGCGUUGGUGCAUAUUCCAAAUAUUUGAAAACUGAAUGCUUUACAUACACUAGGCCAGUUAACUUAUUAAUCCUUACUCUUAACAAAUUAGCUAUUACGGUAACGCUAGACUGCAGUUCACUUUCGAACUUGACUGGUGGUAUGCUGGUUUGUUGACUCUUCUGUACUGUAAACGCAAUACGUGAGCUUAUAAGCUGGUGUGCACCAGUGAUGCUGAUGUUUGGAGGUCUUUCAUCUUGCAUCCACCUUGAAUUAUUUGGUAGCUAGAAUUCCUUGAUUUGGACCCAACUAGGAACAUGCUCGGUCUGGCUGGUGAUUUGUACUGACAUUGUUUCUCUGCCCUGCAGGCUGAAUCUACUAGCACUACAAAUGAAUCAGUGUUGAAGGUUGCUCUUGACCACGGCAAAGCAUCUGGUGUGAUCAAGUCGCAUGACCGUGUCGUCGUGUGCCAGAAAGUGGGAGAUUCCUCUGUCGUGAAGAUCAUUGAGCUAGACGACUAGGCAAAAUUAGCCUUUGCUCAGGGCUUGCCAGAUUUUUGACUAGGCCAAAACGUUGCUUGGUGGCUAUGUAUAAUUCUAUCUAUAGUUUUGCAAAACGAGCAGUUUUUCCUAUGGUGUCAUCAUAGGAUCCGCGGUUAUCAUUCUGAAACCUACGCUAGUUAUUAUGGAUAUGUCCUCAGAUUUUACUGCAGUGUAGCGAGUAAAUGAUCUGAUGGAAUAAUGAUAUCAAAACUUUGUGACCCUUAUUGUUGUCGCUAAGCCUAUGUUCCCAUUUACAGAUUUGGGUGUGAUCCUGAGGUUUUAGGAUGUUCUUAUCAUCUUAUGACUGUCAGUUGGAGAAUUCUGGUAUAUUUUUCUUUGCGGAUUGGUAUAUAGAGACUAAAAAAAAUAGUUCUUUAUUUCUUUUUGCCGCCAGGAAGUUUUCCUUUCUGGCGAUGUUUAUUCAUGACAAUGUCAAUUGAGUUUGACUAGCAGAUAUGCCGUUGCAACGGGAGAUAAAAUACUAUGCAUUUAAAGUCAGCAAGAAUUAUAUGUGCAAGCAAAACCCUGUGCACAUGAAAAAACAUUUAGUUUCUCGGUUUUGCUGUGUGUGAAGAAAUCAAUUUGCUAUUUUUUCGUUAAUUGAUCGAGGACAUUUAAGAGUUUUGUUACGUCAUUGUAGGCCAGACAAAGGCUCAUGAGUUAUUCAAUCUACUUUUCCUUUCAAUCGAGAGAAUUUGAAGGUACGAAGUUUCUGAAUAUUCUAGGGAACAUGAACACUUUUUUAAAUCUUGAACAGUUUUUUAAAAUUAUGUAUACUUCCAAAAAACAUGAACAAAAUAUGAAAAAUAACAUUUUUUAAAAUUCACAAACAUUUUAUGAAUACACUAACAUUUUUUAUAAAAAACAUGAACAUUAUUUCAAUUUGUGAACCUUUUUUAAAAUGGGAACAUGUGUUGAAAAUUCAUAAGAUUUUUAGAAAACGUGUAUCUUUUAUACAUGAUUAUUAUUUUUAAUUUUGAAAAUUUCACUAAAACAUGAAUAAUUUUCAAAUUUGUAGCACUUUUUGAUAUGCAAUUUUAUUUUCUAUAAAUCUCUAAUAAUUCUGAAAAGAAAUAAAAGAUUAAAACAUGAGCAACUUUUUGUCAAGUUCCGACUAUUUUUAAAAAUAGCAAAAAAAUGGAAUUCUGAACAUUUUUCCAAAAAAAUACUAAAUGUUUUUUGAGAAUUUUUAAUUUACGAAAAAAAUUUCGAAAAAAAUCACCUUGAAAAGGAAAAAAGAGUUAGGGAAAGGAGGAUAAAAAUAGAAGUAAAACACAUAAAAAAAAUGGGGCAACCCAUUAUUGGUUGUCCUGUGCGAAACUAUCUCUAUUUCUCGACCUGUGCGGAAAAUAGAAUUUCCUAAUUGCGUGGACAAAAAAUUAAGUGGGCUGGCUUCACUGGACAACAGCGGGCGGCCCACGUAGGAAAAUUCUUUUUCUAGCGGACAAGCGCAUAAGAAUUUAGUACCACCUUCGUGUAGAAAAAAAUUCUUUACGAUGGUGAAGGGAUGAAAAAAUUGAAAAAAUGCACCUUGCUUUAUUAGUAGGUAUAUAUAUCUAUAUCUAUAUCUAUAUCUAUAGCUACUAUUAAGGGGAGGUGAUAUUCUUGGUUUCGUCUUACUUCGUUUGGUCCCGCUUCAAUUAAUUUCACAUACGCUAUUUUGUUUUGGCCCAAUGGAGGAAGCCCACCUGGCGGCGCACUAUGGCCCAGGUCCGGAGAGUUGGCAAAAAAUAAAACUACCCAUGGGAGAGUUCGAUUUCAUAACCUAUCAACCGGCCACGCACCCAGCUAGCGAUAUGAGAGGAUUUUCUUCCUCCGUUGCAACGCACGGGCCUUUUUGCUAGUAUAGCAAUACAAAAUUAAAACAUGGGCAACUUUUUUGCAAGUUCCGACUAUGUUUAAAAAUAGCAAAAAAGAUUGGAAUUCUGAAUAUUUUACAAUUUUUUUAAUACUGAAUGUUUUUUGAGAAUUUUUAAUUUAUGAAAUAAAUUCUAAAAAAAUCAACUUGGAAGAGAAAAAAGAGACAGGGAAAGGAGGAUAAAAAUAGAAGUAAAACACAUAAAAAUAAUAAAAAAUGGGCCAGCCAUUAUUGAUUGUCCUGUGCGAAACUAUCACUGUUUCUCGACCUGUGCGGAAAAUAGAAUUUCCUAGUUGCGUGGGCGAAAAAUUAGCUGGGCUGGCUUCACUGGGCCACAGCGCGCGGCCCAUGUAUGAAAAUUCUUUUUCUAGCGGACAAGCGCAUAAGAAUUUAGUACCAUCUCGGGUAGAAAAAAAAUCUUUCCGGUGGUGAACGGAUGAAAAAAUUCGAGAAACGCACCUUGCUUUAUUAGUAGGUAUAGAUAUAUAUAUUUUUUUUCCGUUCUGGUGGCGACGUUUAUUCAUGAAAAUGUCAGUUGAGUUUGAAUUUGGCUUUGGCAACUCUUUAACAAUGUGCACUUGACUGAGCUUUUCCCAUUCUAUUCGCACCUGAGUUGCAAACUUGACGGUAAAUUUGACUACGGGGCAAUAUCAAGCUCCAGCUUAAGACAGCUUACGUAAGAUUUUUUAUCAUGGCAAAAUCUUCUUUUGUGUCAAAUUAUUUUUUAUCAUGGAAAAAUCUAAACAUCUUUUGUGUCAAAUUAUGUUCUCUAAGGGGCGAGCAUGGCAAAUCCAUCUCGUUCAUUUUUAUGAAAAACAUCAAAUUUUUAUACCUAAAAAUCUGAUGUUAAUCUUUUUUAGUGCUUCUGAUUUUUUUUGCUCCCAGCCUUUAUUAUACACGGCACGUGAUCUUCAAGCAACAAGAUGAUAGUUCAUCCCGAUUUUUCUCAUCUUGUGAAGAUCAUUGAGCUGGAUGACUAGGCAAAAUUUGACUAGGCCAAAACGUUGCUUGGUGGCUAUGUAUAAUUCUAUAUAUAGUUUUGCAAAACGAGCUGUUUUUUCUAUGGUGUCAUCAUAGGAUCCAUGGUUACCAUUCUGAAACCUAAGCUAGUUAUUAUGGAUAUGUCCUCAGAUUUUACUGCAGUGUAGCAAGUAAAUGAUCUGAUGGAAUAAUGAUAUCAAAACUUUGUGACACUUGCUAUUGUUGUUGCUAAGCCUAUGUUAUCAUCUUAUGACUGUUUUUUUUGCAUAUCGUUACAUAGAGACUAAAUAGUUCUUUAUUUCAGGAAUUUUUCCUUUCUAGUGGUGACGUUUAUUCAUG
rnacentral:lncRNA from 1 species